rnacentral:rRNA from 1 species
UACGUAGGGGGCUAGCGUUGUCCGGAAUCAUUGGGCGUAAAGCGCGUGUAGGCGGCCCGGUAAGUCCGCUGUGAAAGUCGGGGGGCUCAACCCUCGGAUGCCGGUGGAUACUGUCGGGCUGGAGUGCGGAAGAGGCGAGUGGAAUUCCUGGUGUAGCGGUGAAAUGCGCAGAUAUCGGGAGGAACACCAGUAGCGAAGGCGGGCUCGCUGGGCCAUUCCUGACGCUGAGACGCGAAAGCUAGGGGAGCGAACGAGGA